rnacentral:rRNA from 1 species
CGGCGGACGGGUGAGUAACACGUGGAUAACCUACCUAUAAGACUGGGAUAACUUCGGGAAACCGGAGCUAAUACCGGAUAAUAUAUUGAACCGCAUGGUUCAAUAGUGAAAGACGGUUUUGCUGUCACUUAUAGAUGGAUCCGCGCCGCAUUAGCUAGUUGGUAAGGUAACGGCUUACCAAGGCAACGAUGCGUAGCCGACCUGAGAGGGUGAUUGGCCACACUGGAACUGAGACACGGUCCAG